rnacentral:rRNA from 1 species
GUGCGAAAGCACGACUGGGUCAGUCCGAGUGAUUCCUGAUAAAGGAGUCUUUUGCUUGUCCUAAAAGCACAGGUGAAUAAGGGGUAGGCAAGUCUGGUGUCAGCCGCCGCGGUAAUACCAGCACCUCGAGUGGUCAGGACGUUUAUUGGGCCUAAAGCAUCCGUAGCCGGCUCUGCAAGUCUUCGGUUAAAUCCACCUGCUCAACAGAUGGGCCGCUGGAGAUACUACAGAGCUAGGGAGUGGGAGAGGCAGACGGUAUUCAGUGGGUAGGGGUAAAAUCCUCUGAUCCAUUGAGGACCACCAGUGGCGAAGGCGGUCUGCCAGAACACGUUCGACGGUGAGGGUUGAAAGCUGGGGGAGCAAACCGGAUUAGAUACCCGGGUAGUCCCAGCUGUAAACGAUGCAAACUCGGUGAUGCAUUGGCUUAUGGCCAAUGCAGUGCCGCAGGGAAGCCGUUAAGUUUGCCGCCUGGGAAGUACGGACGCAAGUCUGAAACUUAAAGGAAUUGGCGGGGGAGCACCACAAGGGGUGAAGCCUGCGGUUCAAUUGGAGUCAACGCCAGGAAUCUUACCCGGGGAGACAGCAGAAUGAAGGUCAAGCUGAAGACUUUACCAGACAAGUGAGAGGAGGUGCAUGCCAAUC